UACGGAGGUGGCUAACGUUGUUCGGAUUCAUUGGGUGUAAAGGGUGUGUAGGCGGUCUUGUAAGUCGAAUGUGAAAUCCUUUGGCUUAACCAAAGAACUGCAUUCGAAACUGCUUGGCUUGAGUUUGGGAGAGGUGAGCGGAAUUCCAGGUGUAAGAGUGAAAUCUGUAGAUAUCUGGAGGAACACCAGUUGCGCAAGCGACUCACUGGCCUAAAACUGACGCUGAAACACGAAAGCUAGGGGAG
rnacentral:rRNA from 1 species